CCCUUAGAUGUUCUGGGCUGCACGCGCGCUACACUGAUGCGCUCAACGAGUUUACGACCUUGCCCGGAAGGGUUGGGUAAUCUUUUUAAAACGCAUCGUGAUGGGGAUAGAUUAUUGCAAUUAUUAAUCUUUAACGAGGAAUUCCUAGUAAGCGCGAGUCAUCAGCUCGUGCUGAUUACGUCCCUGCCCUUUGUACACACCGCCCGUCGCUCCUACCGAUUGAUUGAUCCGGUGAAUUACAUAGAAUUUUGCGUUUUACAUGACGGAAGAUGAAGUGUUUUAAACCUUAUCAUUUAGAGGAAGGAGAAGUCGUAACA
rnacentral:rRNA from 1 species